rnacentral:rRNA from 1 species
UAAGGAAUAUUGGGCAAUGGACGCAAGUCUGACCCAGCCAUGCCGCGUGAAGGAUGACGGCCCUCUGGGUUGUAAACUUCUUUUAUCUGGGACGAAAAAAGGCUUUUCUAAGUCGUCUGACGGUACCAGAUGAAUAAGCACCGGCUAACUCCGUGCCAGCAGCCGCGGUAAUACGGAGGGUGCAAGCGUUAUCCGGAUUCACUGGGUUUAAAGGGUGCGUAGGCGGGUAUGUAAGUCAGUGGUGAAAUCUUGGAGCUUAACUCCGAAACUGCCAUUGAUACUAUGUAUCUUGAAUAUCGUUGAGGUUUGCGGAAUAUGUCAUGUAGCGGUGAAAUGCUUAGAUAUGACAUAGAACACCAAUUGCGAAGGCAGCAGGCUAAACGAACAUUGACGCUGAGGCACGAAAGCGUGGGGAUCAAACA